rnacentral:antisense_RNA from 1 species
UUCAAUGGCAGGCCAGGUGGGGAGACCUAUACGGUCUGCCGGUUCUGUGGUGACUCUCCCGGUUCGCCAACCCCGCUUUGGCCUGCCACCCGC